AUGCAUCAACUGUUUUUCAAUCUAAAGGCACACUUCCACCCUCUGUUAAGACUGAUAAGAGAUCCUUAGUGAACCAACGCAACAACUUGCCUGUUCAAACUUCCACUGGGAGUUUUUUCACUCUGGAAUGUGUGCAGCCAAACAAGGCAUGCUGGACACAGCCACCCAGUCCAGUCCAGCUGGAGAAGUUAAACCAUGCCUUACUGGAGAGAGGGCCAAAAGAUGAAUUCCUAGCAUCUGUUGGAGGCACAGUCCUCACCAGGUUGUAUUUCCAAACAUUGGGACUACUUCAAGAUGUAGAGGCGACAGUAAGAUUCUGCAAACACAUUUUGGUAUAUCAAUACCUUAACCCAAGUAGUAGAAUAAAUUUAUCCUUGAAUGAUUACAGAUUUUAAAUGCUUGCCUUUCUGUAAUAAAGGAUGUUGCUGGCCUUCAGGGUAUAACAGUCCAUGUGUUCAGUGCAUAUGUGACAGUGACUUGGUUGCCUCCAAUGUGUGGUGACCCACUGUCUAAUGUUCCUGAAAAUCUGGCAAGUCAUGACAUCAUUUUACUACCUUCUUGGACAAGCAUUCACUGGAUGAUCGAUGUCUGUGACAAUAUAAUACAUAAUGUCAAGUAAAUAAAUAGAAAAUAUUAAACUGUUCCACUUAUUUUAAAUAUAAAACCUGAAAAGGAUUCAGUUCAUGAAAUGUAAUGUUAAAGUUGCACUGUCAUAGAUCAUGAAGAAAAAAAAAGGGAGAUCUAUUGGCUUGAUUCCCUCUCUGGACGGAGCUUCAAUGAUACACGCUACUUGAGCAGUUAUUGGUUUAUGAGUGAAAAGUUAAGAAUUCGGGAUAAUAGUAGUUCUGUUUUAAACCACAUAUCCCUGUUUUUUUUCUGUUUUUUUUUCACUUUUUUCCUCUUUGUUCUGAUUUAUCUAUCUUUAUAUGUUCAUUGAUAUUAUUUUAAUCAGUCCCAUCUAAAUGUCUGACGGACUGUAGGCCCUGUGAUAUGAGAGCUUUCAAUUUAAAUGUUUAAUGUUUUGUAUGUUUGUUUCUUUUAAUAUUGUUCUCUACAGAAAACUAGCACACCAUGUAUGUUUAGACACAUGGGAUGAGUACAGUGCUGAUGAAAUUCCAGUAAGCAUCACCCAUAAACAUUGUUCCUUAACUACUUAAUGUUUUCACUUUAUUAUUAUUUUUUUUUACUAAUUGUUGUUGUUAAUAGUGGUGUUCUUUUUGUUUUUUUGUAUUACCAGGGCAUUCCCAAACAACAUUGCUCAAAUAACUGUGGAGUGUUAGUGUUGAUGGUAAGUAAUUAAA